rnacentral:rRNA from 1 species
AUUGAACGCUGGCGGCAGGCCUAACACAUGCAAGUCGAACGGUAACAGGAAACAGCUUGCUGUUUCGCUGACGAGUGGCGGACGGGUGAGUAAUGUCUGGGAAACUGCCUGAUGGAGGGGGAUAACUACUGGAAACGGUAGCUAAUACCGCAUAACGUCGCAAGACCAAAGAGGGGGACCUUCGGGCCUCUUGCCAUCGGAUGUGCCCAGAUGGGAUUAGCUAGUAGGUGGGGUAACGGCUCACCUAGGCGACGAUCCCUAGCUGGUCUGAGAGGAUGACCAGCCACACUGGAACUGAGACACGGCCCAGACUCCUACGGGAGGCAGCAGUGGGGAAUAUUGCACAAUGGGCGCAAGCCUGAUGCAGCCAUGCCGCGGGUAUGAAGAAGGCCUUCGGGUUGUAAAGUACUUUCAGCGGGGAUGAAGGGAGUAAAGUUAAUACCUUUGCUCAUUGACGUUACCCGCAGAAGAAGCACCGGCUAACUCCGU